rnacentral:rRNA from 1 species
UACGUAGGGUGCAAGCGUUGUCCGGAAUUAUUGGGCGUAAAGAGCUCGUAGGCGGUCUGUCGCGUCUGGUGUGAAACUCAGGCUUAACCCUGAGCUUGCAUCGGGUACGGGCAGACUAGAGUGCGGUAGGGGAGACUGGAAUUCCUGGUGUAGGCGGUGAAAUGCGCAGAUAUCAGGAGGAACACCGGUGGCGAAGGCGGGUCUCUGGGCCGUAACUGACGCUGAGGAGCGAAAGCAUGGGGAGCGAACAGG